rnacentral:misc_RNA from 1 species
UCCGGGUUUCCCCAUUCGGAAAUCGCCGGUUAUAACGGUGUCAUAUCACCUUACCGACGCUUAUCGCAGAUUAGCACGUCCUUCAUCGCCUCUGACUGCCAGGGCAUCCACCGUGUACGCUUAGUCGCUUAACCUCACAACCCGAAGAUGUUUCACUUCAGAGUUGCGAAAAUUUGAGAGACUCACGAACAACUUUCAUUGUUCAGUGUUUCAAUUUUCAGCUUGAUGGAGAUUUUUAAAGAGCAAAUAUAUCAAACAAGACUUAACAGUCUGUUUUGAGAUAUUGAGGUCGGCGACUUUCA